CGCAGGCGCAGAAAAGGGGGCGGGGGGACUCGACUUGUUGUGUUGCUGCUGCCCGAGAGCCGGAUACUGUCGUGCUGCGGCCGCGGCGCUCCCAGUCUCCUGACCAUGUCUCACUUAGUUGAGCCGCCGCCACCCCUGCACAACAACAACAACAACUGCGAGGAAGGGGAGCAGCCCCUGCCGCCGCCCGCCGGCCUCAACAGUUCCUGGGUGGAGCUACCUAUGAACAGCAGCAAUGGCAAUGAUAAUGGCAACGGGAAGAAUGGGGGGCUGGAGCACGUCCCUUCCUCUUCCUCAAUCCACAAUGGAGACAUGGAGAAGAUCCUUCUGGACGCACAGCAUGAGUCGGGACAGAGCAGCUCAAGAGGCAGCUCUCACUGUGACAGCCCUUCACCACAAGAAGAUGGACAGAUCAUGUUUGAUGUUGAGAUGCACACCAGCAGGGACCAUAGCUCUCAGUCAGAAGAAGAAGUUGUAGAAGGAGAGAAAGAAGUUGAGGCUUUGAAGAAAAGUGCAGACUGGGUAUCAGACUGGUCCAGUAGACCCGAAAACAUCCCACCCAAAGAGUUCCAUUUCAGACACCCUAAACGUGCUGUCUCUCUAAGCAUGAGGAAGAGUGGAGCCAUGAAGAAAGGGGGCAUUUUCUCUGCAGAGUUCCUGAAGGUCUUCAUCCCGUCUCUCUUUCUUUCUCAUGUGUUGGCUUUGGGGCUGGGAUGGUAAAACACACUAUUGUGGAGGAUGAUUCUUGAAUAUGCUGGUAGGCUACUGUAGCAUCUAUAUUGGAAAACGACUGAGCACACCUUCUGCCAGCACCUACUGAGGGAAACGAAAAGCACCUGGAAAUGCGCGUGGCCUGUGAAGUGGUGUAUUGUAGUUUGAAUUUGAGACCUAUUGUAAGCAUGAUCCCCAACCUACAACCCUAUUUUUACAUACCCAAUCCCAGUAACUCUCAAAUCCAGUAUUUUACUCAAACUCUAUUGAGGCAUUUUACUAACCUUCUUCCCUUUUUGGCCUGUAAGACACUUUAGAGAUUCCUAACAGAAUUUCCUGUCGUUUAGAAAUUUGCAAGGGCUUUUUUCAGCAAUGCCACCAGCAGAUUAUAACCUUGUCAACAAUACCAUCAUUUCCUCUUAGUACCACCAGAAUCACACCUACAUCAUUCAUGCUAGAAGCUGAAUUCUAGCCAUGCAACUACAUCUCUUUCUAAAUGAGGUCAGGUUUGCAAACAGUACUAUAAAAGCUUUGUUUAGUUUUUGUUUUCCAGAACAAAAAUAAGCUUCCCUAAGCUUGAAUUUAUAGUUAUUAAAAACAAAAGAAAACCAAACCAAAAAAAAAAAAAAAAGCAAGACAUAAGGAAAAAUAUAUCCUGGGCAAUAAAAAUUACUUUAAACCAGCUGUGGAGCCGCUCUUUUCCUAAGCCUCCUGUUCCGCCUUCAGUUCGUAGGAGGCAGCCUGUAUGAGUGACAGAUAGGAUAUAGAAGAAUAGAACAUGCUGGCAGAUUUUAACAUUAGGAUGUUGCAAUGCUCUCUUUUCUAUGAUAGAAAAUCUUUAUUUCUAAGGAAUGCCUCAGAUCUAGACAUACACAAAAUUGUUUUUGAGAUUUUUGUGCGUUUGGUAUUUUCAUGUGUUACCUGCAUGUGAAUUUCUCAUGACUUUCUUUACUUGUCUUUCUAGUUUCUUUCUUUUUUUUUUUUUCUCAGAAGAGACUUGGAACGAGUCUGAUUCAUGGUGUUAAUAGAGGCUUCUUGUUUUAGGAAGCUUUGCUUACACCCUGGAGCCUUUACACUCUGAAGAGUAACUUCAGAGUUAUUUCAAACACUUGUGUAACUUCACACAGCAGAUCUGGGGUGUGGAAACAGUUGACAAAGUUCUGGAAAGAUGCCAUUCAUUCUCUGUGGUCCCUUACUUCCUGUUGUUGGCUAUGGUCUUCCCAGUGUGUCCCUAGGAUCUCCCAGGCCCUGGUGACUUUCUCAUGCAGUUGUCUUUUCAGUUCUGUCAAACUCCUGAUGAUCCGCAAUACUCAGAAAAGCCUUUGAAUGGCAGACAUUGUUUGUCUGUUUCUACAAUGUGAAGCUUUAGGACCAAACUGUUAGACGGCAUCAGGAUUGCAGAUUAUCUCAAGUAGAUUCUGUUGGAUUUCAGAACAUAGCAUAACUCUGAAGGAUUCUAUGUUUUAUAUAUAAUUACUGUUUAUGAUAUAGACUGUGCUAUAGUUGCAGAACCAUUGUGAAUUUCAAAGCUAGCAACCUACAUGGUGUACCAAGUUGACUUGAAUAAAUAUGGCAACCGGGUUUGCUAGUCUGCAGAAACUAACUCCUCUCUCACAUAAAGGGUUAUAAAAUUGGUGUUACAUGGAAAUGGAAAGUAACACAGAUAGGAAGACAUUUCUAUCAUUUUUCAAGAACAUAGCUGUUUAUCUUUAAGAAAGAUAAUAUAUCCAAAGUAGUUUUUGUGAGUUAUUUUCUUUCUGGCAUUUAAUGUCUAAAUGAUUAUGGGCGUCUUUUGCCCUUUUCCUAUCUUGCUCUUAAACCUGGUGACGCUUGAUUUACCUUAUCGCUUAUUUAUUUCAAGUGUUUGUAUUUGAAUUUCGUUAGGAAGAAAGUAAAUCUGAUGGCCUAUUUGUUUGUUUGUUUUUGAAAAGCCUGAAUCAAAUUGGCCAGACUACUGAGGCUAAACUGUAGCACAGUUGAGUGCUCCUGUGUGAACGAGCAGCAGAGUCGUUCACUAAGUGAUCUCCCAGGCAGACACCUCCUUGAUAAAUUCAGGAGCAGCCUGUCAGCAGUGCCAUUGAACUGGGAUGUAUGAUUUUAUUUCAACAUUAAAAGUAAAUUUAAUUUCGCCAUUUUUGAAAGUAUCAGUAAGAUCAUGGAACAUGUCACAGCACAACUGUCCAUCAGGGAGCUUGUAAGGUGUUGAUUUGCAGCCCUGACAUACGGGAUGUUUAUGCUCCUACACAGAUUCUUGUUGAAUGAAAACAGAUUGUCCUAUUGCAAAGCAGAAUUCAACCACGAGUUGAAAUUUAAGAUAAUGUUUAAAAAGCUUUAUUCCUGUUUACAAUUUGGAAUGAGAAGCAAGCUUCGUUUUAAGUUUGAAAACUGGCUCAGAUGUUUGUAAGUCAAGAGGAAAGCGGCACAGAGAACAGUACGGCAGUCACUCGAUUACAGUAGAGAGUGAAGUGGGGACUCGGCCAUGAGACGAACCGCACAGUGAACCAGUUGGUGGAGCUCCUGGCAUUAACUGAGCCAGAGUGAUACACAUCCCUCGUCUGUCUCGUCAGCACUUGCGUCAUUCCUUACAGUUUACAGAACACGUGUAACUUGUAGCUAUAAACAUUUUGUGCCAUUAAAGCUCUCACAAAAAC